UACGUAGGGGGGCAAGCGUUUGUCCGGAAUUAUUGGGCGUAAAGGGCGCGUAGGCGGCCUUUCAAGUGACGGGUGAAAUCCCUCGGCUUAACCGAGGAACUGCCUGUCAGACUGGAAGGCUUGAGACCGGGAGAGGUGAGUGGAAUUCCCCAGUGUAGCGGUGAAAUGCGUAGAUAUUGGGAGGAACACCAGUGGCGAAGGCGGCUCACUGGACCGGAACUGACGCUGAGGCGCGAAAAGCGUGGGGGAGCAAACAGG
rnacentral:rRNA from 1 species